rnacentral:rRNA from 1 species
UACAGAGGUCUCAAGCGUUGUUCGGAUUCAUUGGGCGUAAAGGGUGCGUAGGCGGCGCGGUAAGUCGGGGUGUGAAAUCUUGGAGCUUAACUCCGAAACUGCAUUCGAUACUGCCGUGCUUGAGGACUGGAGAGGAGACUGGAAUUUACGGUGUAGCGGUGAAAUGCGUAGAUAUCGUAAGGAAGACCAGUGGCGAAGGCGGGUCUCGUGGACAGUUCCUGACGCUGAGGCACGAAGGCCAGGGGAGCAAACGGG